GACGAACGCUGGCGGCGUGCCUAACACAUGCAAGUCGAACGGAAAGGCCCUGCUUGCAGGGUACUCGAGUGGCGAACGGGUGAGUAACACGUGGGUGAUCUGCCCUGCACUUCGGGAUAAGCCUGGGAAACUGGGUCUAAUACCGGAUAGGAGCCAUUUUUAGUGUGAUGGUUGGAAAGUUUUUUCGGUGUAGGAUGAGCUCGCGGCCUAUCAGCUUGUUGGUGGGGUAAUGGCCUACCAAGGCGGCGACGGGUAGCCGGCCUGAGAGGGUGGACGGCCACAUUGGGACUGAGAUACGGCCCAGACUCCUACGGGAGGCAGCAGGGGGGAAUAUUGCACAAUGGGCGCAAGCCUGAUGCAGCGACGCCGCGUGGGGGAUGACGGCCUUCGGGUUGUAAACUCCUUUCGCUAGGGACGAAGCUUUUUGUGACGGUACCUAGAUAAGAAGCACCGGCUAACUACGUG
rnacentral:rRNA from 1 species